rnacentral:snoRNA from 1 species
AUCCCAUGGUGAGGACAUUCUGAUAUAUAAUCUUGAAAGUGUUCCCAAGCCUCUAGGACAGAUUCAUUGUAUUGCUGCUAGAAAAUUGAGAUCUUUGCACGUAGGGC